UGCCCCUUCCCCUCCAUCUCUUCCUCUCGGGUCCCAACCCUGGGCUAGGGUUCCAUACGCCGCCGCCUUCGGGCGGACCACACACGCUGACGUCGAGGUCCGAGAGGAGCGGGCCGCCGCUCCGUCUUCCGCCUCCACCAUCUUCCGCCUCCACCGACCUCCGAGGCGCCCUACCCGUGGGACGGCGCCGCCGCCGCCUUGCGGAACCCCAGGGCAGGGCAGGGCGUGGUCGCGUUGCGUGCGGGCAGCGAGGAGCGGCGCACCGGCGCGUGCGUAGCCAGUUAGCGAGAGAGGAAGGGAGGAAGGGAGUGGCGAUUGUCCUGAUGCCCCAGCUCCGAUUGUCCUGCCUGGCUGCCUCCUGAAGCCCCCAAAAGAUCCAUCCACAGCCAGUACUGUUGCCACAGCAAGUUUCUUCAGGUCCAUCGGCAUUCGUGGGAGUGUUCGCAGCGUCGGGCUUGGUCAACGAGUUGACGGAGUCUUCCGGCGUGACGCACCUGCUGUAGAAGUUGGCAUUCAAGGACACGGGGCACCAGGGCCACUUGCAUAUCGUGCGGGAGGUGGAGGCCACGGGGGGCAACAUCGGCGCCUCCACUUCCAGGUAGCAGUUGGUGCACAGCUACGACAUGCUCUCCAGGCAUACAUACCGCAGGCCGUGCGUUGGACAUGCUUCUUUGAUGAUAAGUAACUGACUUCUUCCUCCAAUGGCUGAAACAAGCUUUGUGAUUUACUCCUCUAAUUCUCUUUUGACAUGCUGAUUAAUUCCUCGCAAUUUUCUAGAGUAAAUCCAUUCCCCUGACACCUAUAAUGGAAUUUCACAUGUUUUACUUGCAUGAAUCAAACAUAUAUGUGUGCUGACUACAUGCCCCUGCAGGUGUGUUGAUUCUCAUGUCAAGUUUAGUAAUUGUAGUUAUAUUUCUGCUGGAGCAGGGAACAAUUAUCAAGUUCAUUUACAUCUAUAGGCUGCAGUUGCUUGUUCAUAACUAUGUUUUCCUCCUGCUGCGUCAUUCAGGUCUAUGUUUGUUUUCCUCCUGCUGUGCACUAACCUAGAAGCCUGUAACCAUGUUUGUAGCCUAAAUUAGUACUAUCCCUGGGUGAAGGUAACGUUUCUAGCAAGAGAAUUGAUAAUGCUGAUAGUGUCGUGAUAUUUCAUAGCAUUGUCAAUGUCAGGCAUGUCAAAAUUUUGCUCUCUUUUUACUUAGCCAACUUAUUUUACUACAUGGGGUGUUUUGGAGUUUUGUUUCUAAAACAGAUUCUGUUGAGUUUUGUUCUGGAGUGUUUGUACUGAUGCAUAAAACUACCUGCAUCUAAAAUGGCAUGGUAUUAGUAUUUUUAUUUUUAAAAGUAUGCCACUUGCCUUAAGCUUUCAGUAAAUCAAAGUUAUGUCCUGAUGUUAUCGACACUUGAAUAUACAUUAUGAUUUAAUGCACGUUCAACAAAUAGUCAAUGCAUCACUAUUUUCUGGAAACUGUCUAUUCUAUGUGAAGUUUUGAUUUAAGCUUGAUAUAUUAAUAAUAAUAUUACCAUGUUUCUUGUAAAUGUCUAUUUGCAAACUUUGCAGAUAAAUUGGUGCUUGUAUAUUAUAGAAGUAAGACACUUGAAAAUAGAUUCAACAUAGUUCCUGCACUACCAACUUUUCAUGGUUGACUUCACGUCAGAAAACAAUUAUUCAUCAUGGGCAGUCAUGGUUGUUCCCGACUCCGCAAGAAGAUGAUCGAGGGUUGGCGGCACGGCUGCUUCGUUGUCAUCUUCGACGAGCACCGUCCGACACGAUUUUCCGCUGGCAUGUACCAUGGAAUGUCACUGCUUUUAUCAUGGCAUCCAACACUUGCAGAUGUGACUCAAAAGGGGAUUCUGAAGGUAAUGAACUUGGAUGGCCUGAUAGUGUACCAUACCAACAACCAUCUCCAAGGACACAAACUUGAAAAGUUUCUAAGAUUCAUACACACCUUCAGAAUCAGGUACCUGCUUUGUUCUCUAGAAUUCCUAUGGAUUUUAAGAGGAUGAGCCACCCCGUUUGAUUAUGGUUCUUUCCUACACUCACAGCUAAAACUUGACAAUUUGAACCCUUGAUUGAUGCAAGAGAUUCAAGAUACAACUCAUGGAAUCUGAAAAAUUAGAAAAAAAAAAGGUCAAAAGUCAUUUUUAUUUGAAAAGUGGACGUCGACUUAUUUAUUUGACUGGCUCCGGACGUCCAAGUUAUCUGCUUUAUUCUACUAUGGACUUUUAUUGCCGCAUUAUCAUUUUUUAUUUGCGAGAUGCUGCAUUAUCGUUUAUGUUCUUGCAUAUUCUGUUGGCCCUUAAUACUGCCACUGACGACCAAGUGCUGCAUAUUUAUUUCUCUUUAUAGGAAAAUAUAACUCGUACAGCUAUGAUGAACAUUUCUUUUCAGUAUUUACAUUGGCAUUAUUUUGUCACUGGAUAAUUUUAUUGUCACAUAUAAUGAUGUUUAUGAAUUUGUUCAUGUAUUUUCGAGAUUUAGAUGAGUAUAUAUACUGCCAACCCUUGGUUGUCCUUUCAGACUAGGCCUACCAGGCUACCACGAGGUCACCUCAGUUGAUUUCAGACUAGGCGAGCUCCUGGAUAGCUUUGCAAUUCGAUGCUCGGUAAUGCCUUGUGUACUAUACUUUUACCCUGAUGGUUGUACGACUCAAUGCGGCUAGCAGAUUCACUUGAUUCUUUACUUGAUCUUUCAUCUAUUGGGAUAACCAUGGCCUAUGGGCAUGGAUGCUUGUGUUGCUGGUAUUGUAGAAAUAUCAGACGACAUAAUGUCGCAUGUAUAUCACUGCUCUUUGUAUGGAUGCGGUGGCAUGUGAGAGGACAAGCAGGCAUUGGGCCAUUUACGAAUUGCCAGAACAUUGAGGGUGUGUAACAUGAAAUUGUUUCUACAUGAGCUUGUGCUAAAGGUCUGGUCCUAUUGCAUUCGUAGUUGGAGUUUAAUGACUGCAGCCUAAUUUAUCUUCAUUGGUGUUUGGUCUUUUUUGGGAGAUUCAACAAAUUUCUCCCAAAUUAUCACAAAUGGGGAAGUUUGUCUAAACCAUUAUGUAAAAAGAUUGGAAUGAUUGUCAUAUUAAAGUCAGGCGUAGUUGCAUGAACAAGUGAGUAUUGUAUAGCAAAGCGAUUCUUGCCGGUUCAAAUAUCAGAAUGUGUGUUGGCAACAUAAUAGGGCCAAUAAAAUAAAUGGGACUAUAUUUCUUACAAAUUUACUCUUACAACAAGGUGAGCAGUAUACUACAGAGGCUUGCAGCACGUGGCUCUUUUUUAUGCAAGUUUUCUCGGAACAUUUGAAGAAUACAUCCAUCAGCUAGCUUAAGCUUGCCAGGCUUGCUACCUACGUGUGUUGGCCACAACGGUGGGCGGGCCACGGCAUGCCUUUGCCCCAACGAAGCUCCGCCACUGCGCUCCUUUAUAGGUCUCUUGUUGCAAAACCUGUGGACGGCAUAUUCAUUUCAAGGGGUUAUGGACCUGGAACAUUCCAAAGCCUAAAGAAUUCCUUUGAGCUUAAGGGUUGCAUAAGCAAACGAGCGAGAAGUAAGGUGGAGAGUAAAGCUAUAGAAAGUAGGGCGGACAACAAGACUAGACUCACCAUCGUCUGAUUUAGGCGCUGCAGACACAGGUAAUGAAGGGUGACACAGGGAGGGGCAGAGAGGCACUUGCGAUGGAGGUACGUGUCCAGAUUCUCCCUCGUCUCCAUAGACAUGGAAGAGAUUGCUGAGGUGUGCUCUUGCGGGGCCAUGCUAUCAUGGGGUUUGCGCUUGGACAUGCAAGAUGUGAUUUCUACUGUUAGAUAUAUAUGACCAUGGCUUGUGGUGUACUGUGUGAGGAGCCCAUGGAGUGACGUCGUUCAAGGAGUAACCAUGAUUACCAUUCCGUACCAAGAAUGUGGUAUAUUUAAAUUUGUAUGUCGCAAGUCACCGUAGCAAUGUGCAUACCAUAAUGAAAUGAAAUAAGUUUAUGGUUACUGUCAUUUUAGUUAACCAGGUCUUUGUUUUAGUUUCUUUUUCUCCGGUAUACAUGACAUUUAUUAUUCUUUAUGUUCCUUUGCAGUCCCAAAACUGUUACCUUCGCUGGAGCCAAAAAAACAUUGCACUAAGUGAGUCUUUCAUUAUUUGUAAAUCAAAAAUUUAGUGUGCGGUCAUUUCUCGUUGUAUUCCAUCAGUAUUCGGCGCAGCUAGGGUUAUCCCCAAGUCGCCUGGGUGGUGGCGCCGGUGGCGGGGGUAAAUAUGUAUUCAGUUUGUGUUUCUUGCCACUAUUGUCACACAC
rnacentral:rRNA from 1 species